AAUUCAUUUAAACUUCAUAGGAUUAUUUUUAGGUAUCAUUUGUAGAUAUACAAAUUGCUAAGCAUAUAGAUUUCUUUUAUCUACCAUUCUGACUGUGUGGUCCAUUAUGUUAAAGUAAAACAAGGACUUAGCUAUUUAUGUGUACUCUAUAUAUCUCCUUUCUGAGGAGUACCACCAUGCGAUAUGGUGUAAAUAAUACAUUUGUACAUGGAACAGGCAUAUCUUGAUGUGACAGUUACUUAUCCAGUUCAGUAAUUAGGCUGUGAUGGUUCUUAUUAUCACAUAGUUAACUACCUUUCAAGUCUGUUUGGUGGGAGGAGGCACUUCAUUAUUUUUUGGUAGCGAUAAGAAGCCGCUAUAUCUAAUUCCCUGUCAUUUUCAUAUAUUUUGAAUAUUUAAUCCAAAAUGGUGCCUCCCACA
rnacentral:lncRNA from 1 species